UAUUGUUCUUCAACGAGGAAUCCCUAGUAAGCGUGAGUCAUCAGCUCACGUUGAUUACGUCCCUGCCCUUUGUACACACCGCCCGUCGCUACUACCGAUUGAAUGGCUUAGUGAGACCUUUGGAUUGAAUUUUGGAAGCGGCAACGUGACCAAUGUUCGAGAAGUCGGUCAAACUUGGUCAUUUAGAGGAAGUAAAAGUCGUAACAAGGUUUCCGUAGGUGAACCUGCGGAAGGAUCAUUAAAAUUUUUUUUUUUAACCUCCUCUUCGGGGGAGGGGUAUUUGUAUUCAAAUUCCACUCUUCAAAUUUUUUUAAACAUUCAUUUUAUUAUACAUAAUAAUAAAAAGACAACUUUCAACAACGGAUCUCUUGGCUCUCGCAUCGAUGAAGAACGCAGCGAAAUGCGAUACGUAGUGUGAAUUGCAGGUUUAUGUGAAUCAUCGAAUCUUCGAACACAAAUUGUACUUCUCAGUUUCUGGGGAGUAUGCCUGGUUGAGGGUCAUUUCAAUAACAAUCGCGAAUUUUCGCGGAUCUGGGUUCUUCCGGUGUUUUUUUUAUAUACGCUGGUGACCUUAAAAUAAUUUUUUUUCGGUACAAGUCAAAACGUGCUAUGUGACGUGGUUCGUUGAAAACUUGACCUCAUACAUAUUAUGUUUGGGUUGAUCUCAUUGGAGUGAUCGAUGUCAAGCAUAUAUUUUUUUUAAUGACCUCAACUCAAGCAAGGAUACCCGCUGAACUUAAGCAUAUCAAUAAGCGGAGGAAAAGAAACUAACAAGGAUUCCCUCAGUAACGGCGAGUGAAGUGGGAAAAGCUCAAAUUUUAAAUCUACCUUGGUCACACCAGGUCGAAUUGUAAUUUGAAGAAGCGUUUUCGAUAUUUUUGGUUUGGUUGAAGGCCUUUGGAACAAGGCAUCAUGGGAGGGUGAGAAUCCCGUACAUGGUCAGACCGAUAUGUCACAGAUGCGCUCUCUAAGAGUCGAGUUGUUUGGGAAUGCAGCUCAAAAUGGGUGGUAGACUUCACCUAAGGCUAAAUAUUAGCGAGAGACCGAUAGCGAACAAGUACCGUGAGGGAAAGAUGAAAAGUACUUUGAAAAGAGAGUUAAAUAGUACGUGAAAUUGUUGAAAGGGAAACGAUUGAAGUCAGUCGUGCCAGUUAAGGAAUCAACCCGGUGUGGUUUCGGGUUCGCGAGUCGAGAUAGGGUCAAACCAUCUCUCUCUCGAACUUGGGGUUCGUCGGGUGUACUUUCUUGUUGGCAGGUCAACGUCGAUUUUGGGGGUUGUAAAAUAACUGGGGGAAAGUAGCUCCUCUCGGGGAGUGUUAUAGACCCUGGGGGAUGCAGCCUGUGGGAUCGAGGAUUGCAGCAAAUGCUUUUUUUGCUUGUCGCCUGUCCGCUGAUCGUCGCCCCGCUAGUGGCAACAUUUCUUGACACUUUGUGGACCUGUCGGUUACCGGUUAGAGCGAUCUAAAAUUUGCUAAGGAUGUUGACGUAAUGGCUUUAAACGACCCGUCUUGAAACACGGACCAAGGAGUCUAACAUGUGUGCGAGUGUU
rnacentral:rRNA from 1 species